rnacentral:rRNA from 1 species
AAAAAAUGUCCGUGGACCCUUGCGGGGUGGGUGUAGGAAAAUCCGCACCCACAAGCCUCGCUUGGGGACUGACCGCUUUUACGUUCGGGUAGUCAUCUGCAGGACGUCCAAGAAAAGCCUCUAAGGGUUGAAGCUGGAGUGACCGUACUAAAACUGACACAGGUAGGCGAGACGAGUAGUCUUAGGCGCUCGGGAUAACACUGGUUAAGGAACUCUGCAAAUUGGCCCCGUAAGUUCGCGAUAAGGGGUGCCUCUGGGGGUGUUAAAGCUCCUGGGGGUCACAGUAAAUCGGCUUCAGCGACUGUUUAUCAAAAACACAGGACUCUGCGAACUCGUAAGAGGAUGUAUAGAGUCUGACGCCUGCCCGGUGCCGGUAGGUUAAGGAAGAGGGUUAGCCGCAAGGCGAAGCUCGCGACCGAAGCCCCGGUAAACGGCGGCCGUAACUAUGACGGUCCUAAGGUAGCGAAGUUCCUAGUCGGGUAAGUUCCGACCUGCAUGAAUGGCGUAACGACUGAAGCACUGUCUCAACCAGUGACCCGGUGAAAUUGUAGCCGUGGUGAAGAUGCCACGUUCCCGCAGCGAGACGGAAAGACCCCGUGAACCUUCACUGUAGGCUGAUAUUGGGCUGUGGUAUGUCUUGUGUAGGAUAGGUGGGAGGCGUCGAUCUGGGCACGCAAGUGUUCAGGGAGCCAACCUUGAAAUACCACCCUGGACCUGCUUUAGUUCUAACUCUGAUCCCGUGAAUCCGGGCAGAGGACAGUGUCAGUUGGGCAGUUUGACUGGGGCGGUCUCCUCCGAAAGAGUAACCGAGGAGUCCAAAGGUACCCUCAGCCUGGUUGGCAAUCAGGCUUCGAGCGCAAAGGUAUAAGGGUGCUUAACUGCGAGACUUAUCAGUCGAGCAGAUACGAAAGUAGGGCUUAGUGAUCCGGCGGUGCUGGAUGGAAAGGCCGUCGCUCAUCAGAUAAAAGGUACUCCGGGGAUAACAGGCUUAUCGCUUCCGAGCGUCCAUAGCGGCGAAGCGGUUUGGCACCUCGAUGUCGGCUCAUCACAUCCUGGGGGUGGAGAAGCUCCCAAGGGUUUGGCUGUUCGCCAAUGAAAGUGGUACGUGAGCUGGGUUCAGACCGUCGUGAGACAGGUCGGUCCCUAUCUGCUGUGGGCGCACGAAACUUGCGGAGAAUCUUCCUUAGUAUGAGAGGAUUGGGAAGGACGUUCCUCUGGUGUCCCAGUUGUCGCGCUAGCGGCACGGCUGGAUAGCUAAGAACGGAACGGAUAAACGCUGAAAGCAUAUAAGCGUGAAGCCCGCUCCAAGAUAAGGUUUCGUUGGACAAUAGUCCGAAAGUCCCCUGGAAGACGACCAGGUCAAUAGGCCGGAUGUGUACGUGGGGUUAACCCAUUUAGCUAACCGGUACUAACGGACGAACGCUUGACCGC